UUCCGUUUUCUUCUGUCAUAGUAUUAGAGACAGCACACGGCAGUUGCAUUACUAGUAGAAAAUCUGUUGACUAUUGCAAAGUGGAGUAUUAAAAAUUUCAUAGGAAUUAAACGGAGGUAAUCAACAGGAGAUAGCGCUUAGCACAGCUACUUCCAAUCUAAACCUCCACUUUUUGGGUAGAGCAGACUUUGAAUCUAUCUUGGAGCUCCCUCUAGUGCUUUACCGGCCUACUGCAACUAAUAUUUAACAGGAGGCGUCGAGAAGAAUGGCUUUGAGCGGCUCUCGAUCGGGACAUGCUUCUGCAAAGACUGCAGCAACUUGUUUUUGUUUGCUUUUUGUCUCUUGGAAACGGCCCAGUUUCUCCACUUUGAUGUGAAAGAAAGAGCGCUUAUUUGCUGCCAUUGAAGCCAAAUAUACUGCCAUUUGAUGAACAAAAAGAGAACUUUGCCAUGUGUUAUGUGACUAAACACUUUACAUGAGUAUCUGUUGACUCAGAUCAGUGGGAUCAUGUAUUGUGAACUGAUGUUUGG
rnacentral:lncRNA from 1 species